rnacentral:rRNA from 1 species
GAUUUCUGGUCUGUAUCAUUAGGCCGGCCACGGUUUCGUGUGUUAGUGCUUGCUGAUCUGACCAUCCUUCCAAUCGCCGCGUGCUCUUCUUCAUUGAUUGGUACGUGGUAUUGGAUCUUUUACUUUGAACAAAUUAGAGUGUUUCAAGCAGGCUUUAUGCUAUGAAUACAUUAGCAUGGAAUAAUAAUUUAGGACUUCGGUUCUAUUUUGUUGGUUUCUAGGACUGAAGUAAUGAUUGAUAGGGACAGUUGGGGGUGCUAGUAUUCAGCGGCCAGAGGUGAAAUUCUCGGAUUCGCUGAAGACUAACUUAUGCGAAAGCAUU